ensembl:lncRNA
UUGUGGUAGUGUAGCAGUGUGGAAAUAGGGUUGUCCUGCUACAGUUAACUGCGCCUGCCGACCACUAGGGCGGCGGUACUACAUAAAGGCUGCCCCCCUUCUCGCGCCCCACGGAGGCAUCAUUUCCGGGUCGGGUGUCUGUCUGCACAGAGUGGCGACAGAGUGCUCCGUGCCCCGUCCCCCUUUUUGCUCUUGGGUCCUCUCAACCGGUGCGGCUGUAGGCUGGUGGUGGCGCCGGUGGUGUGGGUGGUGGUGGUCUUCUUCGUGUGUCGUGUCCCAUUGGAUUGUUGUGCUAUCACUGGGUGAACUCUGGUUUGGUUUUCUCUAAGUUUGUUCUAUUCAUUUUCCUUCCCCUUCACCGGCGCUUCUCACCAUUAGGCCUUAGCGAUUAGUUUUCUUUUCUUAUUUUGUGAGGAAUGUUAGAUUUUACGGGAAUGUGUAUUUAUUGAAUAAAAAUGUUUUUGUAACCUGGGAACCACGAGCCCUUGCCUGUAACGAAUCCGCGUGCUUUAAAAGGUCUUGGGCCUAUCCCAAGUGGCGUUGCCGGUAGAAUAGGGAACCAUUUCGCCACAGUAGCAAGCUGGGGCCUUCGCACACGGGUUCAGAAUCAUCCAGAGGGCGUGGUC